AUCGAGAUGACGAGUCCCAAAUAGGACGAAACGCGCAUCCUGGAU
rnacentral:hammerhead_ribozyme from 1 species